CGUCCCCUUAGGUCCCUCCCGCCCGGUCGCGGCUCACAGACUCCGCCUUUUGUAGUGCUGCUAGUCGGGUGGUGAAGAUCAUGUUUCCAAGUCAUUUCUGCCAUUUCCAGCUAUCCCUCCCUCUCUCCAGGAGCAUCUGCUUGGGAACAACAUUCAUCUUUUAUAAGGACAAUCAUAAUGUACUGACAUAGUCUCAAUACAUAGGUCUGUCCUUAUGUAUUAUAAAGCAAUAAUUGCUCACUGCUGCCUGGUCCUAGUGUAUUUGAUUACUGAAGAGGAAUUAUCUGUGAUCACAAUAAGACUGCUGGGUAUAAGAGCUGGCACAACACCAACAGGGCUGACGAGGCCCU